CCCGCGGAAAUAAAAACACAGAAAAAGAAGGAAAUAAUGUAUAAGCAAGUAACUAUGAACGAAAUUUCCUGUUA
rnacentral:tRNA from 1 species